rnacentral:ncRNA from 1 species
CGGUUGGCCGCGAGGUUCCUUAGAGAACUGGGGGAGAGAACUACUACCCUCCCUCCCCUCCCGGGGCCGUCACCCGCAAGGGUGACUUGGUUGCGGGGGUGGGGAAUCUGCGGUUACGUUCGCCGCAACAACCGAAAACGAAGACGGCCCCCGGCCGGGACUGGCAUCCCGAUCGAGGGCCUGACCGACAAGGAAGAAUCGAGCUUCCCG